rnacentral:rRNA from 1 species
GCAGUCGAACGGCAGCACGGGUGCUUGCGCCUGGUGGCGAGUGGCGGACGGGUGAGUAAUACAUCCGAACAUGUCCUGUAGUGGGGGAUAGCCCGGCGAAAGACGGAUUAAUACCGCAUACGAUCUAUGGAUGAAAGCGGGGGACCUUCGGGCCUCGCUCUAUAGGGUUGGCCGAUGGAUGAUUAGCUAGUUGGUGGGGUAAAGGCCUACCAAGGCGACGAUCAAUAGCUGGUCUGAGAGGAAGACCAACCACCCUGGGACUGAGACACGGCCCACACUCAUACGGGAGGCAGCAGUGGGGAAUUUUGGACAAUGGGCGAAAGCCUGAUCCAUCAAUGCCGCGUGUGUGAAGAAGGACUUCGGGUUGUAAAGCACUUUUGUUCGGAAAGAAAUAAUUGGUUCUAAUAUAUACGGGGGAUGACGGUACGGGAAGAAUAAGCACCGGCUAACUACGUGCCAGCAGCCGCGGUAAUACAUAGGGUGCGAGCGUUAAUCAAAAUUACUGGGCGUAAAGCGUGCGCGCGCGGUUUGCUAAGACAGAUGUGAAAUCCCCGGGCUCACUCUGCGAACUGCCUUGGUGACUGACUGGCUAGAGUGAGGCAGAGGGAGGUAGAAUUCCAUGUGUAGCAGUGAAAUGCGUAGAGAUGUGGAGGAAUACCGAUGGCGAACGCAGCCCCCUGGGCCAAUACUGACGCUCAUGCACGAAAGCGUGGGGAGCAAACAGGAUUAGAUACCCUGGUCGUCCACGCCCUAAACGAUGUCAACUGGUUGUUGGGGAUUCAUUUCCUCAGUAACGUAGCUAACGCGUGAAGUUGACCGCCUGGGGAGUACGGUCGCAAGAUUAAAACUCAAAGGAAUUGACGGGGACCCGCACAAGCGGUGGAUGAUGUGGUUUAAUUAGAUGCAACGCGAAAAACCUUACCUACCCUUGACAUGGUCGGAAUCCUGCUGAGAGGUGGGAGUGCUCGAAAGAGAACCGAUACACAGGUGCUGCAUGGCCGUCGUCAGCUCGUGUCGUGAGAUGUUGGGUUAAGUCCCGCAACGAGCGCAACCCUUGUCUUUAGUUGCUACGCAAGGGCACUCUAAGGAGACUGCCGGUGACAAACCGGAGGAAGGUGGGGAUGACGUCAAGUCCUCAUGGCCCUUAUGGGUAGGGCUUCACACGUCAUACAAUGGUCGGAACAGAGGGUUGCCAACCCGCGAGGGGGAGCCAAUCCCAGAAAACCGGUCGUAGUCCGGAUUGCAGUCUGCAACUCGAGUGCAUGAAGUUGGAAUCGCUAGUAAUCGCGGAUCAGCAUGCCGCGGUGAAUACGUUCCCGGGUCUUGUACACACCGCCCGUCACACCAUGGGAGUGGGUUUUACCAGAAGUGGGUAGUCUAACCGCAAGGAGGGCGGUCACCACGGUAGGAUUCAUGACUGGGGUGAAGUC